GCCAGGUGUGGUGGCUCACACCUGUAAUCCCAGCACUUUGGGAGGCUGAGGUGGGUGGAUCACCUGAGGUCAGGAGUUCGAGACCAGCCUGAUUAACAAGGUGAAACCCCGUCUCUA
ensembl:misc_RNA Metazoa_SRP Metazoan signal recognition particle RNA